rnacentral:sRNA from 1 species
UAAACCAGCCCCACUUGGGCGUUUCCUCCCUAGACUUGGGCUGUUCCGGUGAGAUCUAACGAUCCGGCGCAGCCCAUUUUCAUGUUAUAU